rnacentral:rRNA from 1 species
CCUACGGGUGGCAGCAGUGGGGAAUAUUGGACAAUGGGGGCAACCCUGAUCCAGCCAUGCCGCGUGUGUGAAGAAGGCCCUCGGGUUGUAAAGCACUUUCAGUGAGGAAGAACGCCUGGUGGUUAAUACCCAUCAGGAAAGACAUCACUCACAGAAGAAGCACCGGCUAACUCCGUGCCAGCAGCCGCGGUAAUACGGAGGGUGCGAGCGUUAAUCAGAAUUACUGGGCGUAAAGCGCGCGUAGGUGGCUUGAUAAGCCGGUUGUGAAAGCCCCGGGCUCAACCUGGGAACGGCAUCCGGAACUGUCAAGCUAGAGUGCAGGAGAGGAAGGUAGAAUUCCCGGUGUAGCGGUGAAAUGCGUAGAGAUCGGGAGGAAUACCAGUGGCGAAGGCGGCCUUCUGGACUGACACUGACACUGAGGUGCGAAAGCGUGGGUAGCAAACAGGAUUAGAUACCCGUGUAGUC